GGCCUGCCCAGUGCCGGAAGGUUAAGGAAGUUGGUGACCUGAUGACAGGGAAGCCGGCGACCGAAGCCCCGGUGAACGGCGGCCGUAACUAUAACGGUCCUAAGGUAGCGAAAUUCCUUGUCGGGUAAGUUCCGACCCGCGGCC
rnacentral:ncRNA from 1 species